rnacentral:rRNA from 1 species
UACGGGGGGGGCAAGCGUUGUUCGGAAUUACUGGGCGUAAAGGGUUCGUAGGUGGCUUGCUAAGUCAGACGUGAAAUCCCUCAGCUUAACUGGGGAACUGCGUCUGAGACUGGCAAGCUUGAGUGCAGGAGAGGAACGCGGAAUUCCAGGUGUAGCGGUGAAAUGCGUAGAUAUCUGGAGGAACACCGGUGGCGAAGGCGGCGUUCUGGACUGUAACUGACGCUGAGGCGCGAAAGCGUGGGGAGCAAACGGG